rnacentral:tRNA from 1 species
GGACCUCUAGCUCAGUUGGUUAGAGCCCUCGGCUCAUAACCGAGUUGUCAUAGGUUCGAGUCCUAUGAGGUCCACCA